rnacentral:misc_RNA from 1 species
GUUCAUGUAUAAUCAUCGUCGGCGUGGCCGACAAAAACAUUCUAGGGUGUUCAAUCGAGAUACGCAAGACCGGAUUUUAAUCUCGGCCUGCAAAGAGGUGCACAAAGGGGAUGUGUGGGGAUGAAACAAAGGCGUGCACGUACCCGCCGGCGAGGCAGGCCAGCGACAACCUUCGAUCCAAAAGUUCUAUAAUGAUCCUUCCGCAGGUUCACCUACGGAAA